GACGAACGCUGGCGGCGUGCCUAAUACAUGCAAGUAGAACGCUGAAGAGAGGAGCUUGCUCUUCUUGGAUGAGUUGCGAACGGGUGAGUAACGCGUAGAUAACCUGCCUGGUAGCGGGGGAUAACUAUUGGAAACGAUAGCUAAUACCGCAUGAUAUUAAUUGUCGCAUGAUAAUUAAUUGAAAGAUGCAAUUGCAUCACUACCAGAUGGACCUGCGUUGUAUUAGCUAGUUGGUGAGGUAACGGCUCACCAAGGCGACGAUACAUAGCCGACCUGAGAGGGUGAUCGGCCACACUGGGACUGAGACACGGCCCAGACUCCUACGGGAGGCAGCAGUAGGGAAUCUUCGGCAAUGGGGGGAACCCUGACCGAGCAACGCCGCGUGAGUGAAGAAGGUUUUCGGAUCGUAAAGCUCUGUUGUAAGAGAAGAACGGGUGUGAGAGUGGAAAGUUCACACUGUGACGGUAUCUUACCAGAAAGG
rnacentral:rRNA from 1 species